rnacentral:lncRNA from 1 species
ACCUCUUCAUCCGAUUUGCAGCAGAAACAAGAUUUAUUUUUCAAUUUGGAUGGAACAUGCUGCCAAGGAUGCUGUAGAUAGGAGGGAGAAACUUUAAAAUAGUAGUCUGUAAGUGGAAGAGUAAUACGGGAUGGGAAGUUUUUUAUAUUAGCCCCUGGGACCACGCACUGCGUUUUCUCCGUUAACGGAUGCUAAAUACGGAUGGAUAUUGAUGUUGUAUUUGUAUCCGGCAAAUAUGUAAAUAUGGAUAUCCGUAUUUAUAUCUGAUUUUAAUAUGGAUGCUAAAGCCUAAAUGGAUGUAUCAAGAUCUGAUUUCCAGUGUUUUUCUCUAUCCAAAUCCACGUUCGUAUUCGAAAAAAAUGUGAAAUUUUCGACAUAAUCUGUGCUCGUAAAGAAUAAAGUACCUGAUGAAACUAUCUAAAUGUUAUAUCUAUGGUAAUGGAUUCAAAGCAUUUAUAUAAUUUUCUAGUCUUGGAUAUUAAAUCAGACUAUAUCUCAAUGUUAUAUCUAUGAUAGUGGAUCCAGAGCAUUUACAUAAUUUUCUACUUUGGAUAUCGAGAACAGGUUGUAUCUUAAUUAUUGCAUGUGUUUUACCAAUAACAAUGGAUCCAAAGAAAAUCGGUUGUCUGAUUCACGCUUAAUAAAUGCCCCAUCACCCGAUUUCACCUUUUAUACAAUAAAUAAAUGCCACCAUCACCCCCCUUCACCCUUUAUAAGCAGGGUGUGAGGAACGGACAUUAUCGUGACAUUCCUCUGCACCCAGCCAGUGAAUUGGAAGACCAAAACCUGGUUCUUCCAACGCUGCUCUCUCUGCUGGCAUUGGCCUCUCGCGCCUCAAAUCGCAUCAGAGAGGAACGGAAGAAGACCACCUUCUCC